rnacentral:rRNA from 1 species
GUGCAGCAGUCGCGAAACCUCCGCAAUGCGGGCAACCGCGACGGGGGACCCCAGUGCCGUGGCAUCGCCACGGCUUUUCCGGAGUGUAAAAAGCUCCGGGGAUAAGGGCUGGGCAAGGCCGGUGGCAGCCGCCGCGGUAAUACCGGCGGCCCGAGUGGUGGCCGCUAUUAAUUGGGCCUAAAAGCGUCCGUAGCCGGGCCUGUAAGUCCCUGGCGAAAAUCCCACGGCUCAACCGUGGGGCUUGCUGGGGAUACUGCAGGCCUUGGGACCGGAGAGGCCGGGGGUACCCCUGGGGGUAGGGGUGAAA